GGAGGGUGCAAGCGUUGUUCGGAAUUACUGGGCGUAAAGCGUGCUGAGGUGGGUCUGCAAGUCAGGUGUGAAAGCCCCCGGCUCAACCGGGGAGGGUCGCUUGAAACUACAGAUCUUGAGUUCCGGGGAGGUGGGUGGAAUUCCCAGUGGAGAGGUGAAAUUCGUAGAUAUUGGGAGGAACACCAGAGACGAAAGUGACUCACUAACCGGACACUGACACUGACACACGAAAGCGUGGGUAGCAAACAGGAUUAGAUACCCUGGUAGUCCACGCUGUAAACGAUGGAUACUAGGUGUUGGAGGAAUUGAUCCCUUCAGUGCCGUCGCUAACGCAUUAAGUAUCCCGCCUGGGAAGUACGGCCGCAAGGCUA
rnacentral:rRNA from 1 species